UACGUAGGGGGCUAGCGUUGUCCGGAAUCAUUGGGCGUAAAGGGCGCGUAAGCGGCUCGGCACGUCCGUUGUGAAAUCGCCCGGCUCAACUGGGCGGGGUCGGCGGAUACGGCCGAGCUGGAGCAAGCUAGGGGGUAAUGGAAUUCCCGGUGUAGUGGUGGAAUGCGUAGAUAUCGGGAGGAACACCAGUGGCGAAGGCGGUUACCUGGAGCUUUGCUGACGCUGAUGCGCGAAAGCGUGGGGAGCGAUCCGG
rnacentral:rRNA from 1 species